UACUCAGCCAAUGAAAAACAAGGAUAGGAAGAGAUAAGCAUCAGGUAAUAGGGCAUAAAAGAUGUAACGCUGCUUUCUGUGUUCCCUCCUGCUUGCAGGACACCUGCCAUUGCAAUUGCAAAUAAAAUCUUUUUUCUGCUUUUAUCAGAUACCAUCCUAAUAAAUUAUUUGGAUAUUUACAACAGUACUGACUAGCAAAUAAAAGUAGGAAGAAAAAGUUUAAGAUUAAAAAACAAAACAAACAAAACAAAACAAAAAAAACGAAUGGAAGAAGACAGUAGAAAGGAAAUAACCCUGCUCCAUGCCGUUCUCUUUGAGUUCCUCUUAAAAUGCUGUCCUCACUGGGGCAUAAUAUGCAGCUUGCCUGGCUAGAUGAAGCUUAAAUUAGCAAUUCCUCUCCCAGCCCCAGUAGCCUAUGACUAAAAUUAUAGACUUUGGUAUUUUGUGAUAAUCUACAGCUAGAAUCACAGUGGUCCACUACUGCAUGCACUUUGAUUCUUACUGAGGACACAUCUUGCAGACUGCUACUGCUGAAACUCGCAUGGUGAAACCACAAAUCUCUUGGCACUCCAGAGGAUAGAGCUGCUGCAUUUUUCUGCUUCUCCAGCAGAACCUCCUUGAAUAGGUCUCUUUAACCUUUUCUAGGCUAGCUCCUUCAAGUUGCAGUAUCCUUUCUCUUAGUUUUAGCCUUUUCUGGAAACAAGAAGGCUAUAUUUAUUGUUCACCAUAUUUUGUUAGAAGAGCGCUAGUACAGUAUUCUACCUUUGUGUCCAUUUGCAUUUGUUUCUUCUAACGUGCUAUUGCUCUGUAACAAUUAAACUAUCAUAAACAAAACAGAUAAGCACAUUACUGUUAAAAAGAAUUUAUUCAACAGAUUGGAAUACAUUGAAAAUGCUUGUCUAGUAUAGAUUAAUCAGAGGACAUGUUAAUGCCAUAUCAAAAAGUACACUUUCACACAGAAGAACAGAAAUGCAAACAGUUAUUAUGAAAACUGAGCUGGUAUUGUAUUACUUUCAACAUUUUUACUACAUUUCUUUUUUUUUGUAUCUAAUUUGCCCUUCUUCUCAGUCCUUCAGUUUUACAGGUAUGAUGAAAAACAAUUUUUAGAAGGGUCCUGAAAAGUGUGAGAGGAAAAGAAUAAAAAGACAGGCCAGAGGGAGUUCUGCUGCAGCUUCUUGUGCAGAGCCCUCUUCAGUUUGCUCACUUAGAAUUUAACAAAUCCUGUAAUUUCUCUAGACUACAGCAGACUCAUAAACCAAAUCAGAGUAACACUGCUUUCUGUGCAUUGUGGCGAUGCUUACCUUAUGCCAUUUUUAACUAUGGGCAUAUUGUAACAGCAUGGUACUGUCCUAAGAAUGGUGAGGAUUAGCACACAGCAACAUCUUCAUACUUGACAGAAAAAGGCAUCUUAAUAAAGAUGUUAAUAUUAUU
ensembl:lncRNA